UUAUGCAUAGAUUCAUUAGACUGUACCCAAAAAAAAAAAAAAAAAAAUUGAUGCACAGAUGCAUCUGGGAGCACUAUAGCCGUUCUCCAAUUUUCGAGGCCUACCUUAUGAAGGUAUGAAACCCAAUUAGCAGCUUUGCCAGUGGGCAUCGCAACCCAAUUUCUGGGCUUCGAUGAACCAUAAAUCCUUGACAAGAAAGCGAGUGGUUGGGUUCAGGGAGUCGACUAUCAUGAGCUCUGAUGAGGUAGCAGGUCAAAAUGGAAUCUUGGAGGAUUCCCAGAAUCCCAGGUCUUUAGUCCGAAUGCUAUUUGUUUAUGUUUAUCUGCUUCUCCUGUCUCCACAUGCGGGUUGAGAUUGCAUUGAGGGAUGAGGUAUGAACAUACUAUAUGAAGCUACCUCAUCAUAACGCCCAACUUACUUGGUGUCAAUUUUACCGGUAAGUGCUUUUAGCACAAUGAGUUAUCCUACACUACCGGUAAGUGCUUUUAGCGCACUGAUUUAUCCUACACUAAAUUUUUGGGUUAGUAUAAACUAUAAAGAUGGUUGCUUCUAUUCCUUCUAUAUAUUGUGUAAUGUUUAUUCCAGCUCCUUUUUCUUUCAGCUUUAUUCAUCACUCAUCAGUCCUCACUAGAGGAAAAGGUUCAAUAUGAUUGGAGAAAUCCGUUGCCAACAUUGUUUAUGGCCCCCUUGUUUAUUAUAAAAUGAAUCACUAAUGUAGUCUAUCAUUUUUCUUGCUUAUACAAUAAACAAGUAUCUAGGCCAUAAAGCCAAGCUAAGCUGAUCCACAUCCACUUAGUCAGUUUCGUUGAAUAAAUCAACAUUAACUCAGAUUGUGUCAUGUUCUGAGUUGCAGGUGACACAUUGCAGUUUGUUCAAAGGAGUUCAGGAUUAAUAACUCGAUAUGGAUUCUUGAAGCUUUUGAAACCUCGGAACCUCCAAUGCCCAUCUCCUACUCUCUGAUUGUGAUUGCAGGGAUGUUUUCAAGUGGUCUAGAGCAUUCAUGCUCUCCACUGUUGUUGAUAAUCCAACAGUUCACCGGUUAACUUUCAUUGACUGAAUUUAACGUUCAAAGGUGAAGAGCACCAAUGAUCUGAAACAUGAUAGAAUUUUCUGUGAAUGCAUGAACUUUAAACACCUUUUGGAGUAUUAAUAUAAUGUUUGUCA